UACGAAGGGGGCGAGCGUUGUUCGGAUUUACUGGGCGUAAAGGGCGCGUAGGCGGCGGGUCAAGUCGAGUGUGAAAGCCCCGGGCUCAACCUGGGAGGUGCGCUCGAGACUGGUCUGCUAGAGUUCGGGAGAGGGGCGUGGAAUUCCCAGUGUAGAGGUGAAAUUCGUAGAUAUUGGGAAGAACACCGGUGGCGAAGGCGGCGCUCUGGACCGAGACUGACGCUGAGGCGCGAAAGCGUGGGGAGCAAACAGG
rnacentral:rRNA from 1 species